AGGUGGAUAAGGGAUCAGCAGAAGUCUGAAGGAGUUACUUCCGGUGAGGACAUCUACAUUAUACUGCGCCUAGAUGGUCGGGUCCGAAGAUCAGGGAAGGGCAUGCCUGACUGGCAACAAAUAUUGCAGGAGCUGCCACCAUUGGAGGCAAUACUAAGCAAGCUAGAAAGAAAGGAAGAGUUUCUUGCAUCAUCCGAGUCUUACAUAACAGAAUUUUGAGCCAAGACACAUGCCAUUUUUUACUCUAUAAUUGUUAUUAUAAUUUCCAUCCCAUCCUUGAUGAUACCACAUGAGACCAUUUCUAUUGUAUAAUUUUCUACACCCAGGACCCUAUAGUUGGUCCUUUGACACUGCUCAAAAAUCUUUUACAUUCUUUCAUUUGUCCUAAACAUUAAUGUAUUAUAACUUUUCAUAGCAAUUUUUGAAAAAGGAGAAGUAGAUAUUGGUAUUUGGAAGUGA